rnacentral:rasiRNA from 1 species
UGCUUGACAUCCAGGAAUACGGCC